rnacentral:lncRNA from 1 species
AGCAAGGCAGCAACACAUGACAACACAGCAUGGUAGCAACACAACAUGGCAGCAGCACAACACAGCAUGGUAGCAGCACGAAACAUGGUACAAACAUUAUUGGGCACAGACAACAGCACAAAGGGAAAGAAGGAAGAGACAAUACAUUCAGCAAAGCAGCCCCAACUGUCAGAAGUGAGGUGUACCAUCUCAGGCGAUAUACAAUAGACGUUGCUGCCUUUGGGGAAAGUACUAUGGAAUAAUGCCGUGGAAUUCAUUCUCCUGCCUCCAGGACCUGAGCCCUAGGACCAUGCCUCAGGACUACCUGGCUUGAUGACUCCUUGCUGUCCCCAGCUCACCUGGCCGUGCUGCUGCUCCAGUUCUAACUGUUCUGCCUGCAGCUAUGGAACCCUGACCUGUUCACCGGACGUGCUACCUGUCCCAGACCUGUUGUCCCAGACCUGCUGGAACCCUGACCUAUUCACCGGACAUGCUACCUGUCCCAGACCUGCUGUUUUCAACUCUCUAGAGACAGCAGGAGCGGUAGAGAUACUCUCAAAGGUCGGCUAUGAAAAAGCCAACUGACACUUACUCUUGUGUUGCUGACUUGUUGCACCCUCGACAACUACUAUGAUUAUUAUUAUUUGACAAUGCUGGUCAUUUAUGAACAUUUGAACAUCUAGGCCAUGUGCUGUUAUAAUCUCCACCCGGCACAGCCAGAAGAGGACUGGCCACCCCUCAUAGCCUGGUUCCUCUCUAGGUUUCUUCCUAGGUUUUGGCCUUUCUAGGGAGUUUUUCCUAGCCACCGUGCUUCUACACCUGCAUUGCUUGCUGUUUGGGGUUUUAGGCUGGGUUUCUGUACAGCACUUUGAGAUAUCAGCUGAUGUAAGAAGGGCUAUAUAAAU